rnacentral:rRNA from 1 species
CAGCACCUCAAGUGGUCAGGAUGAUUAUUGGGCCUAAAGCAUCCGUAGCCGGCGCUGUAAGUUUUCGGUUAAAUCUGUACGCUCAACGUACAGGCUGCCGGGAAUACUGCAGAGCUAGGGAGUGGGAGAGGUAGACGGUACUCGGUAGGAAGGGGUAAAAUCCUUUGAUCUAUUGAUGACCACCUGUGGCGAAGGCGGUCUACCAGAACACGUCCGACGGUGAGGGGUGAAAGCUGGGGGAGCAAACCGGAUUAGAUACCCGAGUAGUCC